UUGCUCACUAAGGGACUUUUUUGAAGCAAGAGAAGUAACGCAUGACAUCUUUCUCUCUCGAAUUAAAAUGUGACUUGAUUCACCCGGUAAAAUCGCAGUGGGAGAUGGAAUUGGCCGGGAGUGGAGUCGCAAAGAGGAGUUUUCGGUGGACACAGCAUCUUUAUUUUAUUUGUAUGUGGUGCUGAGGAUCGAACCCAGCGUCCCGCGCAUGCCAGUUUUCAGCGGACACAACAUCUUUGUUUGUAUGUGGUGCUGAGAAUCGAACCCGGGCCGCACGCAUGCCAGGCGAGCAUGCUACCGCUUGAGCCACAUCCCCAGCCCCUGGAUUUAUCAUUUAAUAGCUAUGUGGUGUCCUCUGUAAAUGAUGACAUCCACUUGUCCUCACUUGUAAAGUUUCUAGGUGCAGGAGAGUUCCUGUCUUACAGUGGGCAUUGAAUGAGUUUUAUGUCUCACAGAAGGAAGACUGUUGAAGAGAAGAGUCACCCACAGUUUAGGAGAUAAGGACUGGACUAUAUCUUCUUGAUGGAAGUAGAAAUGGGAACUUCUUAAACUCUGGGGCCCUUGUAUGCCCUGCUAAACUCUGACCAGCCACCACACCUGCCAAAACCAGACAACCUUCUGAAAAUAAAAUAGACAACACACUUGGGCUAGUCAUAAGGCACCUGCACACCAAAAAUCCCAAGUUAUCCUCAGCUGUGCACAGCAGAUGGCCCCAAUUAGCCCCAGAAUUAUGCAACAGCAAACCCAAACAUUGCUAGCCAAUUAACAUCACUCAGGCAUUUUACUUUCCUAAAAUAUGGGAUAGAGAGUUUUGAGUGCUUUGGCUUAUAGAAAACAAAAACAAAAACCAUACCCCUUUUCUGUAAACCUCACUGGAGAGUGUUUUCUAGACCUUUACCUAUUUCUGAGCUAGGUUCUCCACUUGGCAAUAAAGCUUUUCCACUCAGUCUCAAUCUUAGGUCUCUAAUACUCAUUAUUUUUCUUUAACAGCAAACAGAAAGAAGUCAUUUCUUAGUCUUGGCAGAAGACAUGGCAAUUAUUCCCCUAUGGGAGAAAAUAAAAGAAAGCCCCAGUGAACUUGCCAUGAUAGCUAUUGAUGCUUUGCAUAAAAGAGAACAAAACUAUAAGAACAGUCACAAGGUUGGAAUAAGUUGCUUCAACAGGACAAUCAAUCUCUCUGACUAGCCUGAUUCAGUGUCAGAGAAGCUAUACUGAGUAUUUACAUUGGCCAAAACUGCAUUAGAAGCCAAAAAAAUGAAAAUGAGUAAAACAUGGUCCAUAUCCUAAGGGCUUCAACACCUCAUGGGAGCUGGGCAUGGUGGUGCACACCUCUAGAAUCCCAGUGAUCCUAGAGGUUGAGGCAGGAGGAUUGCAAGUUCGAGGCCAAUUUGGUGACUUUGUGAGAACUUGUCUCAAAAUAAAAUAUAAAAAGGGCUGAAGGAAUAGCUCAGUGGGUAGGGUGCCCUUGGGUUCAAUCUCCAGUACUGUCAGAAUAAACAACAACAACAACAAAAAUGCCUAAAGGGAAAAGAUAAACACAUAAUGUAACACAUCAUGAUAUUGGUUGAUACUGAAAAAGACCCAAAAUGAAAAGUACUCCGGAGGAGUACUCUGGUGAGUGGUCAAUUCUAACUGUGGAAUAAAAGAGAAGACUUCACACAGGGGAAAUACUGAUGUUAAUUAGGACCUUCAUGUUGGUUCUAGCAAGUAGUUAUUAUGUGAAAAUGAAACAAAUUAUGGAGUUUACUGACAAUUCAAAUUUAUCCUAAUUCUUCUAUUUUUAUUAAUCUUUUAAAUUUGUACAUAAAUAUUUAUUUCACAAAUAUGUAUUUAUAUAUGUUAUCUAUACCCAGGUUUAUGGAUGUGUGUGAAUUUAUGUAUAUAUAAAAUAAAUUUAUGUAUUCAUAUAUGUAUAUGAAAUACUAUGCUUUUGUAACUUGUUUCUGCUUCUCUGGUAUAGGUUCAAGUGCUUAAAUGCUUGAAGCUGUUUUUUCUGCUAUGUAUUGUAGAUACGCAUGGUGAUUUCUUUUGCAUAAACUAAAACUUGGAUCACUCUCCAUUAUACACUCAUGAACUGUAUAAUGUCAUUUUGGUCAACAAUAGGCUGUAUAUGAUGGUGGCUAUUCCAUAGCCUAUCUGUGUAUAGGAUACACCAGCUAAGUUUGUGUAAGUAUAUUCUACGAUGUUUGCACAAUGACAAAAUUACCUGCUGACAAACAUAUUCCUAUUUUUAAGUGACUACAUAUAUUUGUAUAUGCAUGUAUACUUCCUUUUACAUGAAUUCUAAUACUACCUUCCUUUCUUCUUUUGCAAGACUUCCAUCUUCAUUUUCCACUCUGUAUUUUCUUUAUCAUGCUUGUCUUAUAGUUUGCCUGCAUCAACCAUUUUGAGACUUGGCAACGUGCACCAGGAUCCCUGGAAAAGAGAGCACUGGAGAGGCCCAGAGUUGUAAUCUUUCAUAUAACCCUGCUCCUACUUUUAAGUCUUCAUGCAGUUCAGCAACUUGCAAAUAGGUUUGCACUUUGAAAAGUGCUUCUGUCUUUACUGAACAGAGGUGGUUUAUGUGUAGCACUGCUCUCUUGUUAGCCCUUAGGAGCAUUUUUGUUUAAUAAUAUAUUUGCUGGAGCUCUCUGCUUCAACCUUUCUAAUGUUGUCCCUUCUUCAACUGUCUCUGGGUCAAGAUGAUCCAAAAAGAAAGGAUUUAUCCUGUUCCCUUUACUUUACCAGGAAGAAAGUUCCAAGUAAUGUCACCUGAAAAGGUUCCCUGAUUAGGACAAAGACUAUUUUCUGCACUAUUCCAGGAAGCACCCUUCCCAGCUACUGAGAUUAAGUCACAGAAAUUUACUUAUUCAUCAUUACAAGCCCACUCUUGAGUAGUGGAGCAGCCCUGUUGGAAGCUUGCCUCAAGUCCCUUCUAUUAUAUAGGCCACAAAAGCACUUUUCAAACUGUAAUGCAUCAUACAAGUACAGGAUAUUAUUGCAAUUAUAAUAGAAACUGCAACCCAUUAAUAAGCAAGUCUUCCCAGGGUGUGGUGGUGCAUGCCUGCAGUUCCAGCUACUGAGGAGGCUAAGGUAGGAGAAUGGUUUGAGUGCAUGAUUUCAAGACAAGCCUGGGAAACAUGGUAAGACCCCCAUCUUAAAAAAAAAAAAAAAAAUUGAAGAAUAAGUCUUUGUGCACAGGUCACAUCCAUCCCUUUUUCCUUUAGCACCAUAUAUAUGAAUGACUCUGGGCCUAAUUUAUUCUAGGUACAUAUGUGUUUUGAUUAUCAUCUAGCAUUUAUAUCAUUUAUAAAUAUCUUCAGAUUUAAAGGGGAAAAAAAAUCCCGUGAACAGAUUUGCCUACCUACCUCUGUAGAGCUAAAACAUACACUAGUAAUUUACAAGAAAUAAGAACUAAUUCUGUCAAAUCAACUGGCUCCUAAAGGUAAUUUCCAAAUCCUCCAUGUUUACCUUUUCUCCUUUAAAUUUUCAUAUUCUAAUUUUUCCUUGUCAUCUCCUUCCCAUUUAGGCUGAAAAUACUUGUUAUUCUUAUGGCAGUAUAAGGCAUAUGACACAAUAUCAAAUGGUAAUAUUCACUAAUUAAUGGAAUUAUAUCAAUGAAACUGUUGAAUUUUAAGUGUGGCAUACCAAAUUGUAUAUUACACUAUGAUUAAAACAAAGUAAACAUCGUAUAUGUACUCCCCAGCGCCCCCCCACACCGUGUGUGUGUGUGUGUGUGUGUGUGUGUGUGUGUGUGGAGUUGGGGGGCAGAUACAAUUGAGAAGGAAUAUACAGAAACAAAAGAAUUAUUAUACAGCAAUAUAGGAAUUAUCAGUGACUUAAAAAAAAUCCCUUGUAAAAAAUUUAAGUCUGGCUGGGAAUGUAGCUCAAUAUAAAGCACUUGCCUAGCACAAGUGAGGCCUUGGGUUCCAUCCCCAGUACAGCCCCCACCUCAAAAAUAAAGUCUAUUUAAUAAGAAAGAAAAUGGAUGCCUUUGGGUUUAUAUGUUUAUGCCACUGAGCUUCCUUCCCUCUGCCUCCCAUCUUCUACCUUUGCACUUUCUUUUGUGAUUCUUGCCCCUCCCCUCACCAAGUGUUUGAAUGUAAGAAGCCAUCUGCUUCUGUUAUUUAUCCUGACCACACAUUCUGCAUAAGCGACAAGUGGGGUCAGUAUCCAAAUCCUGGUUGCUUCUUCCUGUGUGUUUCUUCUCUGAAGUGUGAUCUGCACAGUUAAGCACUGUAGAUGAGCCUUGAGUCACAUUCCCUGAUUGUCUCCUUCAAGCUCCCUCAUCAGUGUGACAAGGAAACUGAAAGACAAUAUCCUUCUCACCUUCAGCCUUUCACUUAUUUGCACAGAUGGCCCAAUCUGAAAUCCGUCCUGGGGCAGAAUUAAAAACAGUUUUCCUAAUCCCUUUCUUUGGUGUGUCCCCUAAUUCCCCUUUAACCACAAAAUUAUUCUCUUUGCCCCUUUACAGUAUACUUUGUGCCUUGUGAGUCAUGCUUCAGGAAAUUUUUUUUGCUUGCUUUGCAGUAAGCUUAAAAAACCCAAGAAUUUAAAAAUAUUAGUGCUUCUCAAUUCCCAAUGGCUUCCAUUUUAGUUUUGAAAAUGCCAUUGUUAAUAUAUCAUGUUUAUGUAGGCAAAAGUAUGCCAAAAUAUAAAAUCUUGUGAUAGAACGAUAACUACUGAGUUAACAAGGGAGGCUAUAAUAUAAUGAUAAACAUUGCAAUAAAAGAAAGUCUGUAAUAUACUAGGUGUUAAUGGAUUAAAAAUAUUUAAGAGGAGCAAAUAUGUUAUAAUAAGAAGAAUUUAAAAAGUUGAGUGAUCUGUGGAUAUGUGUUCCUUUGUCAAUUUCUACUGUUUGUAUGCCUGUGUUUUUUCACAAUUUUUAAAAGAUUUCAUUGUUAAAAUUUCCUAUUGCGUUUUGCUGACCAUUUGAACUAUUUUACAUAUACUAUUGAAAUCUUGCAGAAAAAUAGCAAUGAGAUAAGUUUGAAGGUGAAAGGAGAGAGAAUCUUUACAAAGUGGGGAGUUGUGGGAGACAAGUUGCAGUUAACAGAACAGUUAAACUAAACAAAGGUAGAUAAAUUACAGAAGUUACAAAGAAGAACUAAAGUGAGUUACCUAAACAAUAGAGGAACUAAAAGUGAGACACCCAUCCUGGGAGGGAGGAGGGUGUAAGUGAACUAAGCUCUCAUCUAACAGAAUAGGAAGGAAGUCCACAGAUCAGAUAAAGUCUGAUAAAUAAAGAAGUGGCAAUAUGACUGUAUUAUUUAGAGAUAGGGAAGUAACCACCCAGAAGAAUUUUUUAAAAUGUAACUGUUAAAAAGUUAGACUUUCUCUAGAGUUUUAGUGGAAGGCAAAAUGAUGUUGUAGAAACAAGACAUAGCAGCAAAGCAUCCUUACAUUCCACAAUAAACUCUUCAACCUGAA